GGAGAUAGCAAGAGUGUGAUUAAAUUAACUGAUAACCACCGAAACUUAAUUCUAACACUAAGAGUACCUUUCCACCUCGCCUCCCGUAAUCCCAUUAAUCCUCCUCUUCUGCGUUUUCUUUUUGGCUUUUGUUUCUUAUCUCUUUUUCAAUUCUUGUUACUCACACCAUUUGCACUUUAACAGUUUCCAUUUCUUUGUCUGCGCAUUGAAACGUACGUCCCUCUCUAGCUAUGAGAUCUCAAAAUAGCUCCUGCCGCUGACCACCGACAAAUCUUAAACUGGGUUUCAAAGAUCUGAGGGAAACUCGCUGAUCUCUUCAAUUUCUGCCGGUUUCUCUACUUGGGUUUUUUCUGUAAUUUGCUAUGAGCUGGAGAUAUAAGGCCGGUUUAUUCUUGAUAGCUGCUGUUGUUAUUAUAUGGGUUACCUCUGCAGAAGUCACCCAGGGUAUCUUUACAGACUACAAGCAGCCAUUUGCAGUAACAUAUCUUGGAGCAUCUCUGAUGGUAGUUUACCUCCCAAUAGCAUUUCUUAAAGACUGGAUAUGUAAGAUACUAAAGCAUCGCUCUUCUAAAAGUGGUAAAGAUGCAGGAAGCAUAAAUGAGUCUUCCGAUGGAUUUAACUCUCCUCUAAGCCGGAAAAUUUUUGAAAUUGAACUUCAGGGAACUUUGACCAGAAAAGACAGUGAGGCAGACCUUUCUCCUCAAGCAGAGGGAAAGCCUUUGAUUCCUAGACACAAAGAUGAUUUAAAUGUGUUGAAACAUGAAAAAGAGCUUACACCUAGAGAAAUUGCCAUCUAUGGUUUUUAUAUUGCCCCGAUCUGGUUUAUAACAGAGGUUUGUUUAUUCAGGGCUAGUUUUUCCAUUUUCAAUUAUGUGAUACAUAAAGAUCAUUUUAGUCCAUACAUUAGUCGGAAAGCCCCUUUGUAGAAAUGUAUGUUAAAAGAAAAAUUUCCCCUCCACAAUCUAUGUGCAUCCAUAUUGUAGUGUUGCCCUUAGAAAUUUCAAUGUCCUUCAGCCAAUCAUUCCUCUGAACCUAUUAGAUGCUCUUUACACAUUGAUAGAUGUGGUGUAUACAUGCAAAG
rnacentral:misc_RNA from 1 species